UACGUAGGGUGCGAGCGUUUAAUCGGAAUGACUGGGCGUAAAGGGCGCGUAGGCGGAUGACACAGUCAGAUGUGAAAUUCCCGGGCUUAACCUGGGGGGCUGCAUUUGAUACGUGUUGUCUAGAGUGAGGAAGAGGGUUGUGGAAUUCCCAGUGUAGAGGUGAAAUUCGUAGAUAUUGGGAAGAACACCGGUGGCGAAGGCGGCAACCUGGUCCUUGACUGACGCUGAGGCGCGAAAGCGUGGGGAGCAAACAGG
rnacentral:rRNA from 1 species